AUUGAACGCUGGCGGCAGGCUUAACACAUGCCAGUCGAGCGAGCGGCGGACGGGUGAGUAAUGUCUGGGAAACUGCCUGAUGGAGGGGGAUAACUACUGGAAACGGUAGCUAAUACCGCAUACCAUCAGAUGUGCCCAGAUGGGAUUAGCUAGUAGGUGGGGUAAUGGCUCACCUAGGCGACGAUCCCUAGCUGGUCUGAGAGGAUGACCAGGAACACUGGAACGGAGACACGGUCCAGACUCCUAGGGGAGGAAGAAGUGGGGAAUAUAGCACAAUGGGCGAAAGAGUGAUAGAGCCAUGCCGCGUGUGUGAAGAAGGCGGUCGGGUUGUAAAGGACUUUCAGCGAGGAGGCGUUACUCGCAGAAGAAGCACCGGCUAACGCCGUGCCAGCCGCCGCGGUAAUUC
rnacentral:rRNA from 1 species